GUCGCGCAACGCAACCGUCCCUGCCCCUUAUCCGGCCACUCCCCCAUCCCCUACGCCUCAACCCUCCCGACGCCAGCUCCCCAGAUCCGCCCGUGCGUCCACCUGCCGCCACCACCGCCGCUCCUCUCGCCCAUCGGCGUUGCUUUCCUCCUCUAGUCCUCCAGCCACUCCACUCGCCCAUCGGCGUUGCUUUCCUCCUCUAGUCCUCCAGCCGCUCCAGAAAAAUCCUUACUGGAUCCCCUGCACCCUCUCUUCUUUUGACCGCCUACCCUGAUAUCAGUCUCUGCACUCGAUUCCCCACCUCUGAGCGCCGCCACUCCCCUCUAUCCUCGACUCCUCCGACGUGCGCCUCACAUUCAGCUCCAACGACGGUCUCUCCCUCACGUUCUCCUUGUACUGCCAAAUAUUCAUUGCGGAGAGCGGGUUCUUCACCGCCAAGUUCUCAGAUCACUGGUCCAAGAAGCAGCGGGCAUCGCUCUACGACUGCGACGAUGUGGAGAUAGACAAGUCGGCGUCGUCAUCUGCUCGACACGUGGCCGAUGCGGACCUGCGUUUUUUCCGUCGCUGCAGCAGAGCCGCACCAGAAGGCGAUUUCAGAGUCAAAAACCCAUUGUUGCGUCCUAAUCUUUUUUGAGCAAUGCUAGGCGGACGACAAACGAUGGACGACCAGCGCACGACGAUGAAAUCCAGCCAGCGAAUCUCGUCCAUAGCCAUGCAACGUCCGCUGGAUUGCUGGUCGUGCAUAGAUCGGCCAGAGUGUGUCGUGUGUGGAGCAAUUCCGAUCUUUUUUUGGUCCACUGCAGUUUUGCAGUGUAAAGCACCACUAGAUGGACUAAAUUACUUUGUAUUUGCAGUGCAAAGCAGCACUAGAUGGACCAAGUUACUUUGUAUUUGCAGCGAUUGAUACCAUUGCCGUUUGAUGCAGGUAGAUGUACAUGAAUGAUAACAUCUCUUGCCAAUUUAGUGAACAAAUCCAGCAUUCUACGUACUGUCUUGAGUACUGAAUCGUGGGAGUUUAGUUUGAAGCAUCAGCUCUGUACAUGUAUCUUGGGGUGAAUUUCUAUCGGAUAUAAUUGGUCUAAAUUAUUACCAAGUGUACUAGCAGAGUAGUUUUGGCGCGUCAGUGUAAUUUUUGCCAAAUGCUAGACGAGCCAAUGGAUUAUUUGAAUAUUUUAGUGGUUCAUAGAUGCACAUUAUGUACUCCCUCCAUUAGAAAAUGUUGGUUCUUUUAUUCUAGCAGGUCAUCUAUAGUAGCAAUUUCUUCGGGUUUUUUCAUUUGGAAUGCACAAAAAAAUCAAUGCAAUAUCUAAUGGCAUCUAGAUUUGUUGCCAGACUUGCAUCAGUUGAAAAACCAUGUCUCAUUGUUCCAGUUACUUCAUGCAAACUGGAAAUGUUCCAAUUCCUUUGUACUUGGUCUUUUAACUUGCGGAUGGAGACUGCUGUGCAGGAAGUACCUCUUCUAGUUUGUCUUGAAACCAUACAACAAUUAGGAAGUCUUCACUUAUCAAUGUAUACAUGCAGGCAAGGGUGCCAUUGCCUAAGAUUAACCGAUGGCUUUGACGAAGGGUGCCAUUUCAGUAUUCUUCAGGUUACUGAUUUGUCUAUGGUUCAUUACUCCUGCAUGCACAGCGAAAGAUAGGAUUGGUGCAGUGCUUGCUUCAGCUUUCUUGUCUAUACUUUCUUCUUUUCUUGUUUCAUAUGUACUUUCUUCUUUUCUUGUCCCAAAUUUCAUAUCAGAUUGGAAGAGUUACUUGUCUUAUUUUGCUUGGAAGAAGUUACACUUGUCAAAUAGUUAAGUGUCCAGAUUAUAAUCUGCUGGUGUUGUGGUGUCAAACUAUAACUUAUAUGUUCUGUGUGAAUCUGUUUGUCAAAAUAUAAGUAGAUUGGCAGUACUUGUUAUCCACUCGUCCUCCUUACAGCGCUAUAUUUUCGUUUGCAUAUUUGUCUGACUUGUCUUGCCAUCUCCAGAUUAUUUCAGUUGGUUAUCCCUUCUUAUGAUCACUGUCUUCAUGUUUCUCACAAAAAGUUUGAUAACUUCUAGAGAAUGGGAAGCAAUGUUGGAGGUAGUCGGAAUGAUGGGAGCGAUAUCUAUGGUGGUGAGCGUAAUAUGAGGCCAAAGAGUAGAACAUAUUUCUCCAUGUGAUUCAACCAACUGAAGUUCUCAAGCUGGAGCCUUGAUGGUGUUUGAUGUUUUUUGUAAAAUUAUGUAGUCACUAUUUCCUCUUUUUUUUUUCUUUCGAUGAAUCAUUAAUAUUUAAUGUUAUUUGGAUGCAACUCUUGUUGUGCUUUUGAUACAUUAUGAGAUUGUGCAAAAUAUAAUUCAUCUUUUGUCACUUGGUCAAAUA